rnacentral:rRNA from 1 species
AGAGUUUGAUCCUGGCUCAGGACGAACGCUGGCGGCAUGCCUAACACAUGCAAGUCGAACGGAGUUAUUGUUUGGAAGUUUUUCGGAAUGGAAGAAUAAGAACUUAGUGGCGGACGGGUGAGUAACGCGUGGGUAACCUGCCCUUUUGUGGGGAACAACUUCGAGAAAUCGGAGCUAAUACCGCAUAAGCUUAUAGAGCCGCAUGGUUUUAUAAGGAAAGAUGGCCUCUGAAGAUGCUAUCGCAAAAGGAUGGACCCGCGUCUGAUUAGCUAGUUGGUGAGGUAAGGGCUUACCAAGGCGACGAUCAGUAGCCGGCCUGAGAGGGUGAACGGCCACAUUGGGACUGAGACACGGCCCAAACUCCUACGGGAGGCAGCAGUGGGGAAUCUUCCGCAAUGGGCGGAAGCCUGACGGAGCAAUGCCGCGUGAGUGAAGAAGGCCUUCGGGUUGUAAAACUCUGUCCUUAUCGAAGAGAGGGGAGCAUGUAAAGAAUGUGUUCUUAGGACGGUAGAUGAGGAGGAAGCCCCGGCUAACUACGUGCCAGCAGCCGCGGUAAUACGUAGGGGACGAGCGUUGUCCGGAAUCACUGGGCGUAAAGGGCGCGUAGGCGGUAUAAUAAGUCAGUGGUGAAAACUUGGGGCUCAACCCCGAGCCUGCCACUGAUACUGUUAGACUUGAGUAUGGAAGAGGAGAAUGGAAUUCCUAGUGUAGCGGUGAAAUGCGUAGAUAUUAGGAGGAACACCAGUGGCGAAGGCGAUUCUCUGGGCCAAGACUGACGCUGAGGCGCGAAAGCGUGGGGA